rnacentral:rRNA from 1 species
GACGAACGCUGGCGGCGUGCUUAACACAUGCAAGUCGAACGGAAAGGCCCUGCUUUUGUGGGGUGCUCGAGUGGCGAACGGGUGAGUAACACGUGAGUAACCUGCCCUUGACUUUGGGAUAACUUCAGGAAACUGGGGCUAAUACCGGAUAGGAGCUCCUGCUGCAUGGUGGGGGUUGGAAAGUUUCGGCGGUUGGGGAUGGACUCGCGGCUUAUCAGCUUGUUGGUGGGGUAGUGGCUUACCAAGGCUUUGACGGGUAGCCGGCCUGAGAGGGUGACCGGCCACAUUGGGACCGGGGUCCGGCCCGGACCCCUUCGGGGGGCAGGGGGGGGGAAUAUUGCCAAAGGGGCGGAAGCCUGGUGGAGGAACGCCGGGUGGGGGAUGACGGCCUUCGGGUUGUAAACCCCUUUCGCCUGUAACGAAGGGGGAGGAAGGGAAAGGGGUAAAAAAGCCCCGGCUACCUACGG